CCCUCUUGUUGGCAUUUAUUUGCUGUUUUGUGCUUUACAAAGUGGGAGGGGAAGUCUACAAAUGAUUUUCCUCAUUCUACAGAGGAGAAAACUGAGGUAUGGAGAGAAGAGAAGCCACUCACCCAAGGAUGCGCACCUCUGUGCAGAGACCUCCCCCAGCUUUGCAUCAUCCUCCAAUCUGAUAAACAGGCCUGCUCGGGGGCAUGGACGGCAGCAGAACAUACACUGGAAAGGAGUGGACACGCCCCAGUGAAGACUGGCCUACAGGGCUGGCACAGACCCUCUCCUGCAGAAGUCUGGCUGGACCGUUUGGACAAACAGCAUCACAAAGCACAAAAAUAUCUGGGACCUGUGUCAAUGAGGGCAUGCCCACAGCUGUGUGCCAAUGUUAACCUCCCUGGAAGCAUCAUAGGGCCUCAUGUGCCCUGGGCCAGUUACUGAGAUCGCGUGCACCUGCACACCCUCCCUGUGGCCUGGCUCUCUGACUCCAGGAGAGAUCGAGGCCAGACGUGGUGCUCUCUAUCAGUGUGGUGAAGGGCCAAGCUGGCCGGGAAGUCCCUGAUCCCGGCCUCAGCACCCUGGGAACAUUGGCCUGAGGCCACUGGAUCUUUGGAUGUUUCCUGUCAUAAAUCACCUUGGCACCCAAGUGGAGGGCAGCCUGGAGUGGGGAGAGACUGGAGGCCAGCAGAUCCACCAGCAGCUACUGUGACAAUGUGGGGGCAAGGGGGCGAGGUGCUGAACCAGGUGGCUGGCUGUGAGGUAACAAAGGAGAGAGAGUUUCCCUGAAGGGAGGAUGGAUGAGACAUGGUCACAUAUCACAGAGGCUGUGAGGGAGGGCAGUGGUGACCUUGGCAGUGAGGAAAGGUGAUGAGUUCAGUGUUGACUCACUGAGGUGGAGAUGUCUCCAGGACAUGCAGGAGGAGAUGCCGUGAGGCAGCUGGUAAUGGGGGACCAGGAGAGAGGGAAUAACUGAUGUGAAGAUGAAAUGAAUGUGUGAUGGCAGUUUCACAGAGGAUGACGUGAGUCUUUGAGAAUGCAGCUGAUCAUAAAAUGGCCGUGAGCAAGAUGUACAGAUGCCC
rnacentral:lncRNA from 1 species